CUACAAUAUAACAAGCAAACCAAACAUAACAAGUUUUUAACUAUUACUUCUUACUCAUAAACACACACAAAGUUCAGCUUUUUAGUUCACACUGUAACUACACACCAGAGAGAGAAAACAGAGGAAAAGACGAUUUAAUCCUGAGUCCCCGCACAAGCGGCAACAAAGAACCAAUGUAACAAGCAAAACCAAACAUAACAAGAUUUACAUAUUUGUCAUCAAAGUUACAAGCUUUAACCAUUACUUAGAUUGCAUCAACUCCUCAUAAGUUUCACUUUUUUUAAAACAGAGAAAAAAAACAUGAUUUUACCCAGAGUCGGCACAAGCGGCGACGACGGGAUCGCCAUGGAUACGGAACGGUCCGACACAGUUGAGGAUGAGUUUGGUCUGAGUACAGAGGCGGCGAAGUGAAUCCGGGUCUGACGUAUC
rnacentral:lncRNA from 1 species